GGAUUCCCUCAGUAGCUGCGAGCGAACAGGGAAGAGCCCAGCACCGAAUCCCGCGGCCGAUAUCGGGCGCCGGGAAAUGUGGUGUUAGGGAGGGUUCAUUAUCCCUUAUCAUGCGGCGCGUCCAAGUCCUUUUUGAACGGGGCCACAGCCCAUAGAGGGUGCCAGGCCCGUAGUGACCGCUGCUGAUCGCGGGAAGAUCUCUCCUCAGAGUCGGGUUGCUUGAGAGUGCAGCCCUAAGUGGGUGGUAAACUCCAUCUAAGGCUAAAUAUGACCACGAGACCGAUAGCGAACAAGUACCGUGAGGAAAAGUUGAAAAGAACUUCAAAGAGAGAGUUCAAGAGUACGUGAAACCGUUUAGGGGUAAACCUGAGAAACCCGAAAGGUCGAAGGGAGAAAUUUAUUCGCGUUUCGUCGUUGGCGUGAGGCGGUCUUGUAACGGAGAGCGUUCGCGUUUUCCGCGCCUUCCGUUUUUCGAUCCGAUAACGAAUGCGUGCACUUUUCCCCUGGUAGGACAUCGCGAUCCGUUGGGUGUCGGUCUAAGGCUUGCGGUGGAGCUCGAAUGUACGGCUUGCCGUCUUACGUUCGGACCCGCAUGUCCCGGCUGACUCGCUCGACGGUAUACAAAAGGUUUAAGGCCGCUCUUAGAGCGUUCGGCUCAUCGCAAGCGCGUCAGAUGUGUCGGCGAUCGGACCUAGUGCCGGUUCUGACCUC
rnacentral:rRNA from 1 species